UACGGGGGGAGCAAGCGUUGUUCGGAUUUACUGGGCGUAAAGCGCGCGUAGGCGGCUUUGUAAGUUAGAGGUGAAAGCCCGGGGCUCAACCCCGGAACUGCCCUUUAAGACUGCAUCGCUUGAAUCCGGGAGAGGUGAGUGGAAUUCCGGAGUGUAGAGGUGAAAUUCGUAGAUAUUCGGAAGAACACCAGUGGCGAAGGCGGCUCACUGGACCGGCAUUGACGCCUGAUGUGCGAAAGCGUGGGGAGCAAACAGG
rnacentral:rRNA from 1 species